GCUAAUGUAGCUUAAUUAAAGCGUAACUCUGAAGAUGUUAAGAAAAACCUUAGACUGGUUUCAUGAGCA
rnacentral:tRNA from 2 species